AGGGAGAAGAUAUGCCUGGCCAGCUCCCUGCAAACCCUAGCAACUGCUCAAAUGCCGAGAUGCUAUCAUACAGGCUGGAGGCCCAACACAUCUAGAGACUGCACAAGUUCCAGAAACAAGUGGAAGUAGUCAGAUCCCAGAGGAAGGAGGGGAACUGGAUAGCCACCAGCAAAUGGAGACAUUUGAAGCAGGAAGCAGCCCAGGGAUGGCCACGACUACAGGGUAAUGAUGCCUGACUUGCUCUGUAGUGUACAGGGAAGUCUGGUGAAUGUUACACUUGUUUGGCAGACAGGAAGUGACUGCAUCAUUAACACUAUCCAGAAGCGAGUGGUGAUAAACCCUGGCACGACAACAAAAAGAAUAGCCAGGCGGAGUGACACAGAACUUGUGGAAAACAUCUGCAGUUCACGGAAGAAACCCACAUGACAGAACAAAACAGAACCAGUUCAAAUAAACCUUUUCCUGAGCAGGCUAUAAACAGAAUUUGAGGAUGAAUAUAUUGGCCACAGCAUGGCUGUGAGGUGGUGUGGGCCAUCCACACUGUCCUGCUGCACGGGAUCAUCAACCUGGGCAACGUGGACCCCAUCAUCACCAGCUUUGCCAACAUGGGCUCUCCCACCUGAGGCGGGCACUAUUGACAGCACCCACAUCCCCAUCUGGGCCUCUGCCCACCAGGCAGCCAAACAUAUCAAAUGCUAGGGGCACUUUUCGAUGGUCCUGCAGACUGUCACAGACCAUGAUGAACAUCUGCGUCAGGUGGUCGGGGAAGGCCCCCGAUGCCCGCGUCUUCCGCAACUCCAGCCUCUUCCAGAAGCUGCACGCUGGCAGUUUUUUCCCCAACCACACCAUCAGGAGCAGGGACAUGGCCAUGCUGAUCUGUAUUGUGGGGAACACAGUCUACCCUCUGCUCCCCUGGCUAAUGAAGCCCUACACAGGACACCUGGACCACAGCAGGGGAUGCUUCAAUGCCAAGCUCAGCAUGACCCACAUUGUGUACUAGGCACAGGUGUAAAAUGUCUACCUAUCAAUCAGCAAUCAGCCAGGUUCCAGAGCACAUCAAGAGCAACACAGACAGUAUGUGAUCAUUGAGGCUAUGUCAACCAGAGAAGAUUGCACGGGGGAUGUUUUCCAUCUUGAGUAUUUAUGGAGCCAAUAGCAACGUGAUAUGAACUUGGCCCUAUUGCCAUUGAACUAAAGGGCAAAACUCCUUUUAAGUUUGGUGGGAGAAGGAGCAGGCUAUAUUCUGUUCUUUGUGGAUGGAACCAGUGUAAAAUGUUCAAUACGUAUUGUACCAAAUUCAUCUCUGUUGAAAAGGAACUUAACAAUAGAACACCACUUGUCAUCACCUACAGCUCCCAACUUAAACCUGUCCAACACAUUAUCA